UCAACUUUGGUGCCAAGAACUUUACCCUUCGUGUCUGGGAAGUACUCAAGCCCAGGCAGUUGAGUCACUUCUCCAGCAGCGGUUACCCCAAUGGGAUAGGUAAGCAGGUGGCCCGGAAGGUCAUGUUCCAGGGUCUCUUUGGAGUAAAGAUCCCAGUACUUGUCAGCCAUUUGGUUAACCUUUCGGAUGCAUUCCACAUUUUCAGGAUGGAGGAAGCGGUUAUCUAGCAUACCCAGAUGCUCAUACCAUAGUGCCAUCCGAAAGCCGUGAAUUUGACCCCUGGCUGGCUGCCUGAUGGAUAGAUG
rnacentral:lncRNA from 1 species